CAGCUGGGAUCUCUCUGCAAUCUUCCAGCAUUGCCGGAUGCGGGGAGCAGACAGGUCUCCUACAUUGUGCAGAACGUUGUCAGACUCAUCCUGGGGAUCCUGGCGAGCGCGUUGCUCUGUUACUUUGUGCUGACAGCUGCGGUGUUUCCACUCAGAGGAAGAGACGAUACAUGUUCUGCAGCGCACACUGACCCAUCUCCGACUCCUGCUGUGCUCCUAGUAUAGUCAUUGAUGUAUAUUUCCUAUACAAUACGGACUUUCUUUAAUGUCUCAGCAAGUCGAACAUGAGGUGGUUCUGGGUCAGUUGUAACAAUUGGAAAAAUUUCCUGUUGUGACUCAUUUUUAUUCUCGGUAACAGUAUCUGAAUAAAGGCGUUUCCCUGCCUGAGAGAUACGUCAUCCAUGUGACGCUGCCUCUAGUGGUUUGUGCUGCUCUGUGAUGGUCAGUGACCAGUGUGUUGGCUCCCGCUCUCUCUACGACUGGCCGGAAAGGUUCUCUCCUUGGUGAUUGGCCAAUCCUCAUUGUUUUGCGAUUUGUCUCAUUCUGAAAUGUCUCUUUAAUUCUAUAUUCUUCCUGAAUACCCGUGGCUGCUUCAUCAUACCAAAUAAGAGAGUCAAAUUCCACUAUUCACAUGUCUGUUCCCACUUACAGAUAUUUAAUUAAAAAAAUAAAAAUAAUCACAAA